AUGGAGUUGGUGUGCUGGAAUGUGCGUGGACUCAACAGUCCAGCAAAAAUAAAGUCGCUCAGAGAGUUCGUAGAUUCUGUGCGAGUGGCGAUCAUUUGUAUUCUAGAAACUAAGCUUGACUUGGUAGAUCAAUUUGUAGUCCUACAAUGUAUGGGUCCUAAUUAUGAUGGCUUUACUUAUCUGCCGGUGUCCGAUACGAGAGGUGGGAGCUUUGUGGUUUGGGAUUCCAAUAAGGUCCUAUUGACAAAUUUUGUCAAUGACACAAACUUCAUUACGGGUUUUGUGUCACCUAAGGAAGGCACCCCUUGGUGGCUUUCGGUGGUCUAUGGGCCACAAGAAGACGAGCAAAAGGUUAACUUUCUACAGGAGCUUUCGAGCGCAGGAUGUUGUGCCCUGGACCGUGGUUGGUAA
rnacentral:rRNA from 1 species